UCUUUCUUUCUCGUCUGAUACCCAUACUGAGCAUGGAUCUUCUCACCUCGAUUAACCUGAUAUAGAAACUGUCUCCGUGACAUGCUCAGAGGUCUGUUUCCAUGGCGAUUAAAAAUCUCAUCGAAUUGACAAUUAAGAUUGACUUCCACCGAGUAAAUGAACUCAGGAGACGUGGCUCAGAACCUCCGUCCCGGCUGUGGCCUGAUUGAGGAAGGAACACUUUCAGAAACCCAAAGGACCACAGCUGCCUUUUGUCAUCACGCCUCUGGGAACCCAGACUUUGGAACCCACA
rnacentral:lncRNA from 1 species